GGGGAAGCUCUGCUUUGGCAGACAAACAAAACUACACCCAGAGCAACACUUAGCGAAAGAGCAGGACUGCUUUCUUGUUCAAAUUGCAGUGCUGUUUUAUAUUAAAAUUCAUGAGUAAUUUUAGCUCAAAACUUCCAGUAUUUGCAAUUGUAUCUGAUCGUUGUGAGCUAUUUUCUGAUUAUCAAACUAAAGGAAUGUCUCGGUACAAGCAACUGAACAUCACCGCCUGUUAUGAGGUUGGGAUGGGUACACCAGGUGUUCCACAAGGCUCAGUAGUGAGACUUUGGCUGCUUAUGUGACUGUCGUGGUUCUGCGUGGUCUUGUGCCCUCUGCCACCCCAUUCCGUCCCACAGCACCUGGGGCUGGAACCCGGGUCUCCAGUGUAACGCAACAGGGAACCAGCUCGCAUGACCUCCCUCAGCCCAGGCAGCCGAGGUCCCUGCUACGCGCAGUGAGGGCGAUGACGUCACCGUAUCCGAACUAGCUCUGCUACAUCCACCCCUGCUGACUUCGCCUCAGGAAAGGACACUCCCGUCUGGUUCAUGGCACCAGUGUGACCGUCGCUGUUCCGCGCGGGCUCAUGCCCUCCGUCACCCCGUUACGUCCCGCAGCACCAAAGGGCGCAAACCCGGGUCUCUGGCAUAACACAACAGGGAACCAGCCGCUUGAGCUAAAGGAGACCUCCCUCAGCCCAGGCAGCCGAGGUCCCUGCUACGCGCAGUGAGGGCGAUGACGUCACCGUAUCCGAACUAGCUCCGCUACACUUAGUAUUUAUAUGUGUCCACAAAUUCUGUGGUCAAAUACUAAAGUUAAAUGGUCUAAAUCAUGCAGAUGAUGCUCACAUCUACAGUAUGUCCAAAUUGUAUUUGAGGCAAUGCUAGCCAUUUCUGUACUCUAUGAAUUUCUGCAUGACACAAAUGGUUUACAUCUCAAUUAUGCUAAGACUCAGGACAUGUUAUUGGGGUGCUUCUACCAAUAAAGUAAAAUCUCUGUUGUAAUCUUGUCAGGUGAUGGAACUAUACUCUAGUUUCCAUCCUUAAUGAUACAUCUGAGGGUGAUUAUUGAUCCUGGAUUAACGUUUGUACUUUAUGUGCAGAAAAUCAUAAAUAUUCAACUUUUAAAUCUUAGAAAUUUUGCCAGGCUGGUCCUCACUGUUCAUGUCUUGUGAAAGAAAAAUGAGUUAAUCAUUUUAUCUUUUUAAGGAUUCAAGGAUUAUUAUAACAUCCUAAAUGCUAAAGUCUAUAAAGCUAUAGACUUGUAAUGUUCUAAUAUGUUCAGAAAUUUGCAGCUGAUUCCUGACUGCUAGGAUACAUGCAACUGAUCGCACCACUCCUAUAACGGAGUGCUUGCACUUGUUUUAAAUUGAUUUUGAAAUCCUUCUGCUUAUAAUUAAGGCUCUACUUUGCUUACUUUCUCAUUAUCUAGCUGAUAUAUUACCUUUGUAUUCUUUUUCACACAACCUUUGCUCAGCUAAUACUGGUUUAUUAUGUGUUCCCACUGUUCAUCUACUUUCUAUGGAUAUGAGCGCAAUGUCUCUGCAACAUGUCUCAAUGCUCUAAACCAAACCCAAAAGAAAGGGACAGUGUUGUCUGUAUUAUUUUUUUCAAAUGUACUUCUUUUA
rnacentral:lncRNA from 1 species